UGGGGAAUAUUGCACAAUGGGCGCAAGCCUGAUGCAGCCAUGCCGCGUGUGUGAAGAAGGCCUUCGGGUUGUAAAGCACUUUCAGCGAGGAGGAAGGUGGUGAGCUUAAUACGCUCAUCAAUUGACGUUACUCGCAAAAGAAGCACCGGCUAACUCCGUGCCAGCAGCCGCGGUAAUACGGAGGGUGCAAGCGUUAAUCGGAAUUACUGGGCGUAAAGCGCACGCAGGCGGUUUGUUAAGUCAGAUGUGAAAUCCCCGGGCUCAACCUGGGAACUGCAUUUGAAACUGGCAAGCUAGAGUCUCGUAGAGGGGGGUAGAAUUCCAGGUGUAGCGGUGAAAUGCGUAGAGAUCUGGAGGAAUACCGGUGGCGAAGGCGGCCCCCCUGGACGAAGACUGACGCUCAGGUGCGAAAGCGUGGGGCAGCAAACAGGAUUAGAUACCCUGGUAGUCCAGCGCUGUAAACGAUGUCGAUUUGGAGGUUGUGCCCUUGAGGCGUGGCUUCCGGAGCUAACGCGUUAAAUCGACCGCCUGGGGAGUACGGCCGCAAGGUUAAAACUCAAAUGAAUUGACGGGGUC
rnacentral:rRNA from 1 species